rnacentral:lncRNA from 1 species
AUUAACAAAACGUUUCACGGGAUCGAAUCUACAACAACAAGACAUACAAACACCGUCGUGGAAUCGAAUAAAAGACAUACACAAAGUAGUAUAAUACAAAAAAUAAAUCAUGUUGUUACCACGAUGUCGAAGGUUGUUGUCGUGAAUGGUCGGUCGAAGAAAUUCGGCAUUGAGAUUUAUGCAAUAAAGCCGACAUGUAAUGCAACCAUAUUGAAACCGAAACAAAUAUUAUAGCUAUAAGCAUGAUUUAACAGCUAGAACAGAAGCAGAAUAUGAUACAAGUUCCUGUUUAUAACAUUAUUUUCAACAUUAUAAUAUCAAAUACCAAAACGGUAUAACCCAAUCGGAAAGGAAGUAAAUAUGCAAUUGAAACGGAAACAUAAUCGAAACAUUUACACGUCGAAGCUGCGAAUGAUAUUCAAUUUUAAACGCGACAACUUAAGCACACAACAACAACAACACGAUCACAUCGAAAAUACCCCGGAAAAGAACAUUAUGAUAUUCUAAACCAACAAUCAACAUAGAUUAAUGCAACCAAAUCUAAAUCAAAACAGUGGCUAUAACCAACAGCAUAAUAUCAAGGAAAACACAACACAAACUGUUACCGUAACGCUAAACCACUUUAAUCCCGCAGCAAGAAAAUGAUAACAUUAAACAUGUAACAAAUUCAUUGCAAUAAAUACCAAACUGGUUCAAUACAACUCAAUAUGAAGUUUAAUAUGUCUAUGAAAUCAACAUGAUGCGAUUAACGGAAGGUAAAGAGAAUAACAUUAAAAAAUAUUGGAUAUAACAAUAAACAAAAGCCUUGCCCAUAAGAGCCACUUCUCCAAACAGAAAACCAACUGGACAUGACAAAUGCAAGUAGCAAUUCAAAUUAUCAUAAUAACAAAAAGCCUUCUAAAGUUGGUUACAACAACACCUUGGUAAGACAAUUUACAAACUAGAACACAAUAGGAAACCAGUAGAAAACAAUGAGGCCAUAGUCAUAUUCAAAAAACACUACCUAAUGGAAUCAACUAAAGUUGGUUACAACAACACCUUGGUAAGACAAUUUACAAACUAGAACACAAUAGGAAACCAGUAGAAAACAAUGAGGCCAUAGUCAUAUUCAAAAAACACUACCUAAUGGAAUCAAUCUCAGAAUAUCCACACUCUAUAAUACUUGCAACAGUUUGUGACACAACAGAAAUUAAUAAAAGUUUAAUGUAAUAACAGAGUUAAUCUCAAAAUCACAACACCACAAGCAUACGAAAUUGAUAUUUUUACCGAAGCGGUGUCACUGCUGUCGUUUGUUGUCGCUGCGGAGUUGGAAGGUUUAUUGCUUGGUUUCGCCUGUUGGGGAAGAGAGAAUCUGCGUCGCGGUUGGUUGUGGUGAAUUUAGAAGAGCAAACCGUGGCGGCGGCAAUGUCGGUGAACAGAGGUGGAUUCGCCUGAGUAUGAAGGAGUUCGGUUAUUGACACGGGGGUGAGGUCUGGAAUUUAUCGCCAGAAUAUAUGAGGAAGACGGAGGAUGGUUCAAAAUUGACGGUGGUUGAGCGAUGAUGCGGCAACGUAGUUGUAGUGGUGGCGAUUCACGACGGUUAUUCUAGGUUGUUUCGGCGGAAGCGAAAAUGAGGUGUUAGUGUGGUGAAAGGGUGGAAGACGAUGGAGUAUUUGAAGAAGAGGAAUGGUGAUGGUUAAGGGUGAGGCGCUCAGGGAAAGAUCCAGAGGCUUCUUCUCUUUUUCCGUUUUAAUCCUUUUCUUUAUUCUUUGAGAGAGAGAGAGUAAGUUAGUGUCUGUUGGUCCCUUUGUGAAGUCAGCAGAG